UUGAACGCUGGCGGCAUGCCUUACACAUGCAAGUCGAACGGCAGCACGGGUGCUUGCACCUGGUGGCGAGUGGCGAACGGGUGAGUAAUACAUCGGAACAUGUCCUGUAGUGGGGGAUAGCCCGGCGAAAGCCGGAUUAAUACCGCAUACGAUCUACGGAUGAAAGCGGGGGACCUUCGGGCCUCGCGCUAUAGGGUUGGCCGAUGGCUGAUUAGCUAGUUGGUGGGGUAAAGGCCUACCAAGGCGACGAUCAGUAGCUGGUCUGAGAGGACGACCAGCCACACUGGGACUGAGACACGGCCCAGACUCCUACGGGAGGCAGCAGUGGGGAAUUUUGGACAAUGGGCGAAAGCCUGAUCCAGCAAUGCCGCGUGUGUGAAGAAGGCCUUCGGGUUGUAAAGCACUUUUGUCCGGAAAGAAAUCCUUGGCCCUAAUACGGUCGGGGGAUGACGGUACCGGAAGAAUAAGCACCGGCUAACCACGUG
rnacentral:rRNA from 1 species